UUAUGGCCAUAUCACGUUGUAACACCGGUUCUUCUACGAGCAUUGAAGUUAAGCCGCAUGCUGCCUGGUCAGUAGCUAGAUGGGUAACCGCUUGAGAAUACCUGGUGCUGUAAG